AACAUUUAUUCAUCAUCAAAUUAUAUUUGAUUUAUUUUCCAGGCAUUGUUUAGCAGUAUAAAUUGCGAUAAUAAAGAGGAUGAUAACUCAUGGACUCAAGAAAAUAAAACACUCAACGAAUAUGACUGGAAUACAUUUAAUCCUGAUGGAUUUUCUAACUGGCUAUAUACUGGAAAACCAGCCGACCAAGCAACUCCUAGUGCAUUUGGUCCAAAUGAC